rnacentral:misc_RNA from 1 species
GCUGGUAAGAGAAAAUAUUGAUUGCAAUUGUCUUGAAACAUGCACGAUGUAAUUCAUAAAUCUUAAUCUGAAGAAGCAUACAAAUUUCUCCCACAACGGUCACAUGUUGAAGAACCAGCUGGGGAAGCCUUUUCUGGUUUGGCUUUCCGCAUGUUUGGUAAAUCAAGUUUCAGAACUUCAGACAGCGCCGUUGAGCCUUCUUGCAGCUCAUCCAAACUAAUAGAGAGUGGAGGAGUUAGCCGGACAAUAGUGUCAUGUGUGGGCUUAGCAAGAACUCCCCUCUCCUUCAACCUCAGACAAAUAUCAUAUGCAGAAAUGGGGGAUAAAUUCUUGCUGUUGAACUCCACAGCAUUGAAC